UCUAUUUUAUUGGGGAUAUAUGCUAACUGUUCUUUGUUUUUUUUCACAGUACUUUUCCUUGGAGUUUUCAAAUCUCUAAUAAGAGUGAGGUCGGGUAGCUGACUAUAUCUCUUGACUUACAUGAAGUGAUAGCCCCAACUUAACCAAAUCUAUGGCCACUAACCUCUAUAUGCAAUUUGGUCUUGGCCUGGACGACCUCACCUUUCCCUGAGUCAUCUUGUUGAAAGCUCAGGAACUAGCCCCGGUCUCCUCAUGCUUAGGUUAACUGGGUGAGGUGCUUAAAGCAGUCAUAUGCAUCAUAAUGGAAGGAAAUGGGUCUUUACGACCUAAUUCAGUUGUCCUUAGCUUAUGUCGACAUCUCGAUCGAGCUUCUGAUGGCCUUCUUAAGUUUCUAGGCUUCGGGCUGCAAUGCCUUCAUAUUUGAGUUUAGCCCCAUGUCUAUCACGUUAUGGGACAUCUUCAUGUACCUAGGGCUGCCCAUUACCGAGGAGGAGAACUUUUAUGCAAUCUUCAAUAAGCAUGACUCCUACACUACUCUCCUAGUCGAUUUAGAGAGUAAGAUUAAGAGCGCAGGCUCCUAUACAAAGAUCAUGGAGUUGUUCUCUGAGAAACCAGUUGACAAGUUCGUCACCCCUACAAAGCACCUAGUUUUCAUCUGAAUCUUGUCGAGCCAAUAGAUCCUAGCCUCGGGGGGAGAGAAGCUCGUGUAGCUACAUCUGAGGAUUGCCCAGUCUCUUCUCUAUGGCAAUCAACUAGCCUUAGGGACAAUGUUUCUAUGCCACCUCUGUGACGGCAUGAGGGAGUCAUUGAUGAAGAAACCUUUUGGCAACUUCUAUGGGCCUGUCUAGUUUUUGAAACUGUGGAUGACAACCUACUUCCCCCUUCUCUAACGGGAACCCUUUCCUAACGAUUCCCACGCCAACCAUUCCCUCACCUGCUUCUGGGUGGUCAUUUACUGACUGACUCGAAGAACUUCUUCGAGUUCUUUAGUCAAUAGAGCUAGUCCUUGGGAAGGACCUUGAAGGCUUUCAACAUUCCAAACUGCCGUCUUCCUACCUGGUAUAAAUAUCUAGUGGACCAAAAGAAUAAGCCCACCAAAUUAUUAAGGGAUGAGGUUUUCCUCUCAGCCACUACUCCGAGAAAGAUGUGGCGGUUGCACACUGGUUCUUCCUUCAAGUCCCUGAAGGUCUACUUAGAGUCGUAUCAUCCUCAACUAGUGGUGGGCCAGUUUGGAUUAAGCUAGUAUAUCUCUCAAGGGCUAUCCCCCCAAAUCAGUGUGGAGUUGCUGGAUCUGGAGGCCAUCGACUAGAUAGUCGUUCCAUAUACCACCUAGAGGCAGUGUAAGGUGGAGCUUAUAGAUAGAGAUGCUUGCCUCCAUUUUAAUAAAUGGUGGCCCCCAUACUUUAGGCAUAUAAUAAAGAGCCAUACUAGCUGUGAUUGGAUAUAAUCUCACAUGCUGAUGACAUUCUUGAAGGGAAACAUUAAUGCCCCCACUGCUUAAGAGACCUAGACGGCCCCUUCACUAAGGACUGUGGUCCAAGGGAUAGAUCAGGAUAACGCAUCCUCCUAAGUCUCAGUCUUAAAGAAGCUUGGGGCUGAGAAGAUCCCCUCCUCAAGUCGCCUAGAUAAAGGAGAUGGUCUUGACAAGAGGAAGCAAACUUCAUCUCUAUCACCCAAUGCUAAGAGGAGGAAGAAGAUAAUGCCUCCUCCCUUUAAUCAACCUUCCUCCACUCCUCUUUCAAUUAGUCCUACUCCCUAGAAGGGAAAGCGUAUGCACAAGCGCUAAUGGACGAUAAUCUUGUUGGCAAAAUCUGAUGACGGCAGGAUCAGUCCCUUUCAAUAUGGAGAGAUAGAGACCUAACUCCCAGACCCCCCAGUGGUCACUUCCUUUGCCUCUACCAUCCUUAAGCCAAUCUCCAUAGAUUGAACUAAAGUUUCUUAAGACAUAGCCCGAGAGUUAAUGGACUAUGCUGAAGAUCUAGGGGUCACCAUGUCUGCCUCGACCCCAGGUAGUGCUAAUGGUCUAGAAGAUCUCGUAGUUGCUAUUGGCUAGGGAGAAGGUUUCACUACAGUCUCGAGUGGUGAGUUGGGGCUUAGGGCUAAUGAAUUUCAAGGUCUUGUGUCUACUGAGGCCUCAAGGAUGGUUCCUCCCAUUAGUUCAGCCCUGCCCACCAACUCAACAAGUGCCCUAGAGAUUGGGGGCUCUGGGAGGCCCUUGAAAGGACUUCAGGCGAUGACUAUAAGGAAUGUGAUAAUCGCCCUGGCUUCCACUCAAGGCAUCUCGAUACGGGGUCAAAUUGACUCCUCCAUACUUAGGGCUAUGUGGAGAAGGCCUUAUGAUCAGCUGUGCGGUCUGCACAUACCCUUCCACCUUCCACGAGUAAAGACAAAACACUCAUGGACCUUAUUCAACUUGCUUCCUCGAAGGUGGUUCCUACUGACGCUCUUCUAGCCCGCAUCUAUGUCCUUGAAAUGGACAUGGUGUUAGAUGCUUGGAGGGUCAUGCAAUUUCAACUUAGCUAAGUCCUACUCCUCAUUCCCAAGCAAAAUUACGAGGAGAUGAUUUGAGCUCUAAAGGUUGUGGAGAAGGCAAUCUCCAUGCCUGAGCUGGCGCUCCUUUGAGCUCAAGUCCUGACGUGCUACAGUAUCAUCAACUGGUGCCAUAAAGAAUUCUCCUUUCUUUCAGACUAUUUGAAAAACUAUUGGUCUGUGAGGGAUGAGUAUCUUGCCACCAAGACUCAUACGAUUGAUGCUACUGAUUGGUUCCAGGAGAUUGCCCCUCGCGUGGAUCACUUUCAGGUGUUACGGGCUAAGGUGGUGAAUUUGAGGUGCCAACUAGUAGUAGCUGAAAAGGAAUUAGCAAGGGCUGAAACUAAAGACAAUCCAACUAAGUUCAAGCUAGAGAUCUUAACUAAAGCUCUAGAUGAUACAUGGGCUGUUUCAAAUGAAAAGCUUCAUUCCGCGAUUGAAUUUAAGAUGGCUUUAGUCACUAUCAAACCCUAUCUGAAAAGCUAGACUCGGCUUUAGGGACUUGGGAGACCAUCUGUACUAUUUCUAAAUAGUGGGCAUAUGUACUGUACUCUUCAUUCUUUAUUCUUUAAUCUGUACUAUAUGCCCCUUGUAACAUAAUUCAU